CUCUCUCUCUCUCUCUCUCUUCUCUCUCUCUCUCUCUCUCUCUCUCUCAAAGGGCGCUGUCUAGCCGACGCUGCACCGAUCGCCAAAGCUCGACGACGACGGCGAAGACUGUCAAAUACUUGACCAUGACGAUUGCCAAAUCGGACUGAUCUCGCUGCUCGACGACGGCCGAUUCGAGCCGAUCCUGAUUCUCGAUGACGACGAUUGCUGAAUCAAAUCCCGAUCUCGUCCAUUCCAAAGCCGACGAGUUCCACCGCCUAAUCCAAUGGCAGCUCACUUCUCUCUGCGCAUUUCUUCGUUUGGUUCCCAUAAUGCUUCUCUGAUUCUGACUACCAAUAUUGCUUUUGUGCUUGUUCUUCGUGGCGAUGUUUUGAUUUGGAAAUUGAAGCUUCAAUUAGUUUAAGGUUUUGUAUAACUGGAUGGGCAUCUGUUUUGCUAUGUGCUUUAUUAUUGUAGAAAUUCAUCCUUAGCUUCUCGCACUUACUGCUCCUCACAGCGUGGACUGCUCAUCAAUUGUUACUAAAGUGACUUGAUUCCCUAGGUGGACUCAAAGGUGAGGGAGGCGAGAAGGAAGAUUUUGAUCGAGUCUUGUUAUCAGAUCGUGUCAAAUUUGACAGCCUUAGUUCAAAUCUCACAUGAUCAAGGACAAAGUAGUAACUCUCCCUUGCCUCAUCAACUGUAAGCUUUGAUGUUGUUUCCUGUUUGGGCUAGGAAUAACGACUAGGGUUUAAUAUCCUUUCUGUUUAUUUCUUUUUCCUUUCUAUUUUUACACCCUCAAGUCAAGUCUCCAACCUUGCAAGAGUCCUAUGAAUAUAGAAUUUUCAUCUGACUCUGACUUGCAUCAAAAUUAUAACAAUCGUCAUCCUAGUCCAUCCUGAUCCUACUAUAACGCCAACAAACAUUUGGCCAGUUCCCAAUCUCCCUUCACAGACAUGCGUCGCCUGAAACAAUUCGAACACACCAAAGUAUCUGUUUCCCAACAAAACCAAAUCCAAC